UACGUAGGGGGCGAGCGUUGUCCGGAAUUAUUGGGCGUAAAGAGCUCGUAGGCGGUCUGUCACGUCGGCUGUGAAAACCCGGGGCUCAACCCCGGGCCUGCAGUCGAUACGGGCAAACUAGAGUUCGGCAGGGGAGACUGGAAUUCCUGGUGUAGCGGUGAAAUGCGCAGAUAUCAGGAGGAACACCGGUGGCGAAGGCGGGUCUCUGGGCCGAUACUGACGCUGAGGAGCGAAAGCGUGGGGAGCGAACAGG
rnacentral:rRNA from 1 species